rnacentral:rRNA from 1 species
GGUUUGAUCAUGGCUCAGAUUGAACGCUGGCGGGAUGCUUUACACAUGCAAGUCGAACGGCAGCACGGACUUCGGUCUGGUGGCGAGUGGCGAACGGGUGAGUAAUGUAUCGGAACGUGCCUAGUAUGGGGAUAACUACGCGAAAGCGUAGCUAAUACCGCAUACGCCCUUCGGGGGAAAGCGGGGGACCUUUCGGGCCUCGCACUAUUAGAGCGGCCGAUAUCGGAUUAGCUAGUUGCGGGGUAACGGCUCACCAAGGCGACGAUCCGUAGCUGGUUUGAGAGGACGACCAGCCACACUGGGACUGAGACACGGCCCAGACUCCUACGGGAGGCAGCAGUGGGGGAAUUUGGACAAUGGGGGGAAACCCUGAUCCAGCCAUCCCGCGUGUGCGAUGAAGGCCUUCGGGUUGUAAAGCACUUUUGGCAGGAAAGAAACGCGCGGAUAAUACCCCGUGCAACUGACGGUACCUGCAGAAUAAGCACCGGCUAACUACGCCAGCAGCCGCGGUAAUACGUGGGUAGGUGCAAGCGUUAAUCUAACCACGGGCGUAAAAGCGGGCGCAGGCGGUUCGGAAAGAAAGAUGUGAAUCCCCAGAGCUUUAACUUUGGAACUGCAUUUUUAACCACCGAGCUAGAGUGUGUCAGAGUGGAGGUGGAAUUCGCGUGUAGCAGCGGAAUGCGUGAUACAAAAGAGGAAACUACCGAUGGCGAAGGCAGCCUCCUGGGAUAACACUGACGCUCAUGCACGGAAAGCGUGGGGAGCAAACAGGAUUAGAUACCCUGGUAGUCCACGCCCUAAACGAUGUCAAUUAGCUGUUGGGGCCUUCGGGCCUUGGUAGCGCAGCUAACGCGUGAAGUUGACCGCCUGGGGAGUACGGUCGCAAGAUUAAAACCUCAAAGGAAUUUAUCGGGACCCGCACAAAAGCGGUGGAUGAUGUGGAUUAAUUCAAUGCAACGCGAAAAACUCCACUUACCCUUGACAUGUUCGAAUCCCGAAGAGAUUUGGGAAAGCCUGCAGAGAACCGGAACACAGGUGCUGCAUGGCUGUCGUCAGCUCGUCAUGAUACAAGGUUGGAGUCCCGCAACGAGCGGCAACCCGUCAUUAGUUACGAGCGGCACCUUGGCGAGAUCGCCGGUGACAAACCGGAGGAAGGUGGGGAUGACGUCAAGUCCUCAUGGCCCUGGCGUGGUAGGGCUUCACACCGUCAUACAAUGGUCGGGACAGAGGGUCGCCAACCCGCGAGGGGGAGUCAAUCCCAGAAACCCGAUCGUAGUCCGGAUCGCAGUCUGCAACUCGACUGCGUGAAGUCGGAAUCGCUAGUAAUCGCGGACCAGCUAUGUCGUGGUGAAUACGUUCCUGGUCUUCGUACACACCGCCCGUCACACCAUGGGAGUGGGUUUUACCAGAAGUAGUUAGCUCAACCGCAAGACACGGUAGGAUUCAUGACUGGGGGUGAAGUCGCAACAAGGUA